rnacentral:rRNA from 1 species
GACAGAGGGGGCAAGCGUUGCUCGGAUUUACUGGGCGUAAAGGGCGCGUAGGCGGUCAGCACAAGUCAGUUGUGAAAUCUCCGGGCUUAACUCGGAAAGGUCAACUGAUACUGUGCGACUAGAGUGCAGAAGGGGCAACUGGAAUUCUCGGUGUAGCGGUGAAAUGCGUAGAUAUCGAGAGGAACACCUGCGGCGAAGGCGGGUUGCUGGGCUGACACUGACGCUGAUGCGCGAAAGCCAGGGGAGCGAACGGG